rnacentral:lncRNA from 1 species
AUGCAAGGACAACAUAAAGGACAUGGAGUUUGUUUGGAUCAAAACUUGAUUUUUGGCCCAAGGAUGGAGUCGGCCCAAAAGGAGGCCUGGAGGAAUAGAAGAUCAAAGCCCGGCCGAAACUUGGGAAAGCAGGAAUGGGCCUUUUCUGACUUGAUACAAUUCACAAAGGCCACUUGCCUACCUACCCAAGGACUAAGUGGUGUAGAUUGAUCAGACUGCACAGCCCAUAAAGUACUUUAUGGGGGCAUUACAUGAAAUAAAACUGAUGAGUCAUCACCCUCAGACCGCAUUCGGGCAAAGCUGUUGCUACAGGAGCCAAACCAAGUCGUCUAUAAAUAGAGGAAGAGAAGACAAAGACAAGGACACUCAAUCAAACAAACAAAAGCACAAACUCUGCUCAAAAAGCCAGAUUUGCCUUUCAAAACAAAGCUGUAGUCAGCCCAAGCCUUCAUCCCCCGCGGGAUAGUCUUUUCUCUUAACCUUUGUAAUAGCUCUGCUACCUUGUUCAAACUUGUUGUAGUAUCGAUUCACCUUUUGUAAUCUCCCUUCCCCUCUCCCCCUUUAAGCUUUUAGACCCUUGACAGAACUACAAAGAUAGGGACCUGCAAGACGAUCGGCCUUAAUUAAUAAGGUUUAAUCUUGCCCGACCUGCUUUGUUCUGUCUUUGUCUUCUCUUUCUUUAAAGUCUAGCAAUAUGUUGUAUAUUUCUAGUUAUAUGCAAGUUGUUUCUAGCAAAAUCAUGAUGACAAAGCUUUCUCAAUACUUGGAUCCGAUUUAAAUGUAUCUUCAGUGUUUAAAUCAGAUCCAAGUCCUAAGCCCGCAGGCAUGUAAAUCUGAUUAGUUUAAAAGUCCUUGGCCUCAAGGCAUAAAAAAGAACUUUAUGUGGACUUAACCCAUCCACGACAAUCCUUGAUAAACGAGAAGUCCGAAGUUACUUGGGGCGCAAGUAAUCGACCUACCUCCUGGUUUUAUUUCUAUUAUAUCAUGAUUAUUAUAGAACGCUUAAGUAUGGAAUGGAUUCUGAUAGGAAGCCUCAAGGCCUACACCUAAGGCCCCACAAAGGCACUUAUCUGGAUUCAUUCUAUUCUGCGGUCUAAAUGGUUUGAGUAUAAGAACGGACUCUAAUAGGAAGCCUCAAGGCCUACACCUAAGGCCCCACAGAGGCACCUAUUUGGGUUCGCUUUACCUCGCAGACUCGGAUAAUCAGAAAUAUAAUAGUUAUCAGACCCCGACAACCAUAAAGACAGAAUAUAAUAUGCUCAAGUGCUGAUUUAGUUUGACAGGAAGCCUCAAGGCCUACACCUAAGGCCUCACAAAGGCGCCUGUUAUAUCUAACACGGUUCCUCGGGCAUAUGCAUAUUCACAACUAAAACUUGACAUCCAUUCGACAUCUGCCAUGCUAAAGAUGGCAGUGGCACGCCUGAGCACUACAAUGUUAACCUUGAUUGUGAGCCUUAAGGCCUACACCUAAGGCCCCACAAAGGCACCUCUCAAAGUUAACGCUGUCCUUCUCUUUCAGCCUUGCCCGAAGAGACUUGCCCGACGAGUUCUUGCCCGACGAGACUUGCCCGACAAAGCCCAACAGGAAAGCAGAAGCCCGACAGCAGCCCUCAACCGGCACCGAACCUCCAGGGGAGCUGUGUGCUCGUUGGCCAGGAAACGUCCCCUACGGAAAUUCCUGCCCCGAACAGAGUUCUAAAAUCUGAAAAACAAAAAACUGGAUCAUUCCUUCAGGAUCAACUGUUAAUCGAGACAUCCUACUAAUAUAGUAACUUAAAAAUGUGAAUUUUUAAUCCUCUAUAUAUCUUGCAUUUUGUGUUUGUCAAUAUGUUUAUUUUUAAUGUGUUGAUAUAAUACGUGAUUGACACACCCCGAUCCUAGAAUCAAGGCGUGCUGGCCGUCACGUGAGUGUGACAUAACCAAAAGUGCGAUGCGGAAGCAAAGGAUAAGAGAAAUAUGAAGGAAUUUAAAACAACUACUAGCAAAAAUAUCCAACUAGCAUGCUAGAGUGAGUUUAAGUGUGCAGUACAUAAUUUCAGAGCAUAAAAACUAGGUGCAGUUAAGUAGGACUAUAAUUAAAUUACAACACCCGCAGGUGAGUCCUACAUGCAGGAAGUCUGUUAGAACGCCGAAGAAAACCUCGUGAGCCACCAACUGCUAACUAGAACCUGGAGGGGUGCAAAAACAAAAUUGAGUGGGUCAGUAAAACCAAAGUUUUCCAAAACAUUUCAUUUAAAACAUUUCUAACCCCUCACUGUAAAACCUGUAUACUUUACCAGAAAAUAACAUAAUAGUAUAUAAAACCUCAAACGUCACAAAUCACCAAUCUAUCACAAAUCUAGGAAUAUGCCAUGCCAUAAAUGUCAAUAACAAAACAUGGAUGCAUCAAAAUAACAGGUGACAUAAUUGUUGGAAAUGUGCCCUAAAACCAAUCAUGUGAUGAUACUUUACGGACAUUUCACAUGUUAAACUAAUCUGGUUUAAUAUAAAGGGCAAAGAUUAUUGUUUGAGCCGUCUCAUAUAAAUGUUAUAUCCUUAAACGAUAAAGUCCAAGGAAUAUGUGAUUGGGAGAAUGCAAUCUAAUGAAGUUAGAUUCAUGAGA